CCUACGGGUGGCAGCAGUGAGGAAUAUUGGUCAAUGGCCGGAAGGCUGAACCAGCCAAGCCGCGUGAAGGACGAAGGUGCCAAGCAUUGUAAACUUCUUUUGUCAAGGGACAAAAUCAGGCUCGAGAGCCUGACCGAGGGUACUUGAAGAAAAAGCAUCGGCUACUCCGUGCCAGCAGCCGCGGUAAUAAGGAGGAUGCGAGCGUUAUCCGGCUUUAUGGGGUUUAAAGGGUGCGUAGGCGGACUGUUAAGUCAGCGGUAAAAGCCCGGGGCUCAACCCCGGCGAGCCGUUGAAACUGGCUGUCGUGAGAUGUCGAGAGGUAUGCGGAAUGCGCAGUGUAGCGGUGAAAUGCUUAGAUAUUGCGCAGAACUCCGAUUGCGAAGGCAGCAUACCGGCGGCGAUCUGACGCUGAGGCACGAAAGCGUGGGUAUCGAACAGGAUUAGAUACCCCAGUAGUC
rnacentral:rRNA from 1 species